AAAAAGACAAACCCUGAUUUCCGUGCCUAACGUUUGACCGUCCGUCUUAUUUAAAAAAUUAUGAAAAAAAUUAAAAAGACAAGUCACGCAUAAAAUAUUAAUCAUGUUUUAUCAUCUAACAAUAAUGAAAAUACGAAUUAUAAAAGAAUUUCAUAUAAGACGGACAGUCAAAGUUGGACACGGAAAUUCAGGGUUUGCCUUUUU
rnacentral:pre_miRNA from 1 species